AUGAACGCUAGCUACAGGCUUAACACAUGCAAGUCGAGGGGCAGCAUGGUCUUAGCUUGCUAAGGCCGAUGGCGACCGGCGCACGGGUGAGUAACACGUAUCCAACCUGCCGUCUACUCUUGGACAGCCUUCUGAAAGGAAGAUUAAUACAAGAUGGCAUCAUGAGUCCGCAUGUUCACAUGAUUAAAGGUAUUCCGGUAGACGAUGGGGAUGCGUUCCAUUAGAUAGUAGGCGGGGUAACGGCCCACCUAGUCUUCGAUGGAUAGGGGUUCUGAGAGGAAGGUCCCCCACAUUGGAACUGAGACACGGUCCAAACUCCUACGGGAGGCAGCAGUGAGGAAUAUUGGUCAAUGGGCGAGAGCCUGAACCAGCCAAGUAGCGUGAAGGAUGACUGCCCUAUGGGUUGUAAACUUCUUUUAUAAAGGAAUAAAGUCGGGUAUGGAUACCCGUUUGCAUGUACUUUAUGAAUAAGGAUCGGCUAACUCCGUGCCAGCAGCCGCGGUAAUACGGAGGAUCCGAGCGUUAUCCGGAUUUAUUGGGUUUAAAGGGAGCGUAGAUGGAUGUUUAAGUCAGUUGUGAAAGUUUGCGGCUCAACCGUAAAAUUGCAGUUGAUACUGGAUAUCUUGAGUGCAGUUGAGGCAGGCGGAAUUCGUGGUGUAGCGGUGAAAUGCUUAGAUAUCACGAAGAACUCCGAUUGCGAAGGCAGCCUGCUAAGCUGCAACUGACAUUGAGUCUCGAAAGUGUGGGUAUCAAACAGGAUUAGAUACCCUGGUAGUCCACACGGUAAACGAUGAAUACUCGCUGUUUGCGAUAUACUGCAAGCGGCCAAGCGAAAGCGUUAAGUAUUCCACCUGGGGAGUACGCCGGCAACGGUGAAACUCAAAGGAAUUGACGGGGGCCCGCACAAGCGGAGGAACAUGUGGUUUAAUUCGAUGAUACGCGAGGAACCUUACCCGGGCUUAAAUUGCAGAUGAAUUACGGUGAAAGCCGUAAGCCGCAAGGCAUCUGUGAAGGUGCUGCAUGGUUGUCGUCAGCUCGUGCCGUGAGGUGUCGGCUUAAGUGCCAUAACGAGCGCAACCCUUGUUGUCAGUUACUAACAGGUUCCGCUGAGGACUCUGACAAGACUGCCAUCGUAAGAUGUGAGGAAGGUGGGGAUGACGUCAAAUCAGCACGGCCCUUACGUCCGGGGCUACACACGUGUUACAAUGGGGGGUACAGAGGGCCGCUACCACGCGAGUGGAUGCCAAUCCCCAAAACCUCUCUCAGUUCGGACUGGAGUCUGCAACCCGACUCCACGAAGCUGGAUUCGCUAGUAAUCGCGCAUCAGCCACGGCGCGGUGAAUACGUUCCCGGGCCUUGUACACACCGCCCGUCAAGCCAUGGGAGCCGGGGGUACCUGAAGUGCGUAACCGCGAGGAGCGCCCUAGGGUAAAACUGGUGACUGGGGCU
rnacentral:rRNA from 1 species